UGAGGGAGCAGAGAAUGUAUGUUUCUCUGAGAGGUUUUGACUCCUGUGAAACUUUUAAAACAUUUGAAACUUACCUUAUCACGAGCUUGAAAGUAACACUAAAUUGAAAGCCCAUUUACGCUAAAGAACAGGUGAUGGCUUUCAGUCUAAAAGAAACUUCAAGGGAAUGAGAGAUCUCAUUUUAUGGUUUGCCUUCUGACAGAGAAAAAUGCUAUUUUCUACACACUAUUGCACCAGCAACCUUCAAAGCCACAUCGUCAACAUGUGCUCCAGGAACAGGGAUAUUCUCAGACUUCUCCAGCCUCCAGACGGUCAAUGUGAGCGGGGUAGUCCGAUCAUACGACCCCAACAUUGGAACGGUCACCUAUAAUGCUGAGCUCAAGUACUUUUACUCCUGUGCUUACCCUCUGGAGUACCUCGUCAAGAACACCCUGGUGGACAUGUCAGCCUCCUCCAUUGCUGUGAAGAACAACAAUGGUAGCUUCAUCAGUGCUCUGAGCAAUGCCCUGUUAAGGAUGCAAACAAUACCACACCCCUGGUUAUCCCUUCUCUGGUUAUUGAGGACUAAUGUCUUCAUUCAGGUUUUAGCUGCUAACCUGACUUGCCAAUACCAUGUGCUUCUGGACUGAUGUUAUGUGUCCGUCUCCCCGCUGCUCUCCAUCUCAACAUUCUUUCAUCUCUUUGUAUCGUAAGUAAAAAAAACAACAAAAAAACAAUCUUCAAUCAAAUAUUGAAAAAGUGUUAGU